GAUGAACGCUAGCGGCAGGCCUAAUACAUGCAAGUCGAACGAUACCAAGGGGCUUGCUCGUUGGGAAAGUGGCGCACGGGUGCGUAACGCGUAUGAAACCUACCUUUAUCUGGGGGAUAGCCUUUCGAAAGAAAGAUUAACACCGCAUAACAUCACGAGAAGGCAUCUUUUAGUGAUCAAAUAUUCGUAGGAUAGAGAUGGUCAUGCGUGACAUUAGCUAGUUGGAGGGGUAAAGGCUCACCAAGGCGACUAUGUCUAGGGGAUCUGAGAGGAAGAACACCCACACUGGUACUGAGACACGGACCAGACUCCGACGAGAGGCAGCAGUAAGGAGUAUUGGCCAAUGGUCGGAAGCCUGAACCAGCCAUGCCGCGUGCAGGAAGACGGCCCUAUGGGUUGUAAACUGCUUUUAUUCGUGAAUAAAUCACCUUACGUGUAGGGUGUUGAAAGUAGCGAAAGAAUAAGGAUCGGCUAACUCCGUGCCAGCUGCCGCCGUAAAAC
rnacentral:rRNA from 1 species